GCUCCUACCUCCACUGCUGUUGGCUUGUUCUGCUGCUCCUUUUGCUGUUACAUUUGCUAUUGCUGGUUUGCUGGACCUCUGGAUAUCCUAAUGACGAAGACUGGACUUUCCCCAAGAAACUACAGCCUGAAUCAGCAGGAAGUAGUCUGAAGAGACCUAUGUCCCUUUCCUCUCUAAUCUCCUAACUCUCCUACCUGGUGGCCCCGGAAAUCUUCAGACCACAGCCCAGUGGCCUCUAAACAUUACAGCAGGAAGAAGGCCGCACUCACACACAAGUAGGGAAGGCUCAAUCCAUCUCUGCAGUUUACAUGGUGUCAAAUGCACCUCUGAAAGCACCAGAGCCAAACUGAGGAUUCCCAAGAGGAAUUUCAUAUUUCCCACAGGGAAAUGUGAAGGAGGCGUUCUGCUCCUGCUUUCUCGGUGGCGUUAACUAACCCCUAGUAGCUUUCCUGCUUGUAAACCAGAAGUGAAGCCAGCGACCUCACAGUUUGUUGGGCAUCUUAACAGCAGGGUCCUCCUGUCCCUAGGUUGACUGGACUCCAAGCCUGGGAGCUCUGGGCAUAGCAGGACGGCUACACCACCAGACGGACUGUGACGUCACUGGGAGCUACAGCAGGGCUCAGACAAGCAACUCUGCUACCGUGCGAUGGGCCUUUCGGAACGGUACGCAUCUGUUCCCAGACUGCCUCCACCCGUGGCCUGGUCACAUCACCCCCCUUCCAUGGAGGGUAACCGUCUUACCGCAGACGUUAGCCGAGCCAGAAUUUCAUCGCUGCUUUCUUCCGCAUCCUCCACUUUCUGGUUAGACCUUUGAGAAAACAACAACAAAUUACUCCUGGGCGCUGGUUGCUCAAACUUCAAACUUCAAAAUAAAGGGCAAAAAACUGACACUGCCAUUAUGUCACAAGUGCAAGCGUGCAAAUUACACUGUGUUGGCAGAGCCAGAGGCACACAAUCCUUUCCCAGCCAACUGUUCGUUAGAAUACAUGAUCCAGUAUCUCUUCACAUGGACCACCUGAGUUCAGGGGACCUUGUGCUGUUCCCCCGGUGACGUCACAAGGUAAGGCUGGCGCACCUGAUCUACAGAUACAGUCUCGAAGAGUGCAAGCCAACAGGCCAUGCUUAGGUGCUGAAUGCCCCUGAAUCUAAUGAAACCGCAAAGCAAUGAAAUGUAAAUUUUCCACUACAUUUGAGUUUCAG